GCAGCAGUGGGGAAUAUUGGACAAUGGGGGCAACCCUGAUCCAGCAAUGCCGCGUGAGUGAUGAAGGCCUUAGGGUUGUAAAGCUCUUUCGCCUGGGACGAUGAUGACGGUACCACCAGAAGAAGCCCCGGCUAACUUCGUGCCAGCAGCCGCGGUAAUACGAAGGGGGCUAGCGUUGUUCGGAAUUACUGGGCGUAAAGCGCACGCAGGCGGUCCGUUAAAUAAGGAGUGAAAGCCCUGGGCUCAACCCGGGAAUUGCUCUUUAGACUGGCGGACUUGAAUCCGGAAGAGGGCAGUGGAAUUCCAAGUGUAGAGGUGAAAUUCGUAGAUAUUUGGAAGAACACCAGUGGCGAAGGCGACUGCCUGGUCCGGCAUUGACGCUCAUGUGCGAAAGCGUGGGGAGCAAACAGGAUUAGAUACCCUGGUAGUCCACGCCGUAAACGAUGAGUGCUAGUUGUUGGGGUGCAUGCACCUCAGUGACGCAGCUAACGCAUAAGCACUCCGC
rnacentral:rRNA from 1 species